rnacentral:rRNA from 1 species
AGAAUCAACGCUGGCGGCGUGCCUAACACAUGCAAGUCGCGCGAGAAAGGGACUUCGGUCCCGAGUACAGUGGCGCACGGGUGAGUAACACGUGAAUAAUCUACCUCCGAGUGGGGAAUAACUGAGAGAAAUCUUAGCUAAUACCGCAUAACACUUACGAGUCAAAGCAGCAAUGCGCUUGGAGAGGAGUUCGCGGCAGAUUAGUUAGUUGGCGGGGUAAUGGCCCACCAAGACGAUGAUCUGUA